CUCUUUACAUAGGCACCCCUCGCUCAAAAAAGAAAAACGCAGUCAAAUCCCCCGUCUCUCUCUCUCGCUGGCGCACCGGCGGCUCCGUCCGUCUCCGGCUGCCGGCAUCGGCAGCGCCAUAGCCUCGCGCCGCUCCGCCCGGGCUUCCCCGUAGCUCGCUUCCGCCAGUUCGCCAGUGCAUCGAGCACCACCGCCGCCCGCUCUCCCUCUCCAACUCUGCUGUCUCUCUUCCUUCUCCAACCCUGCCGCCUCCCGCCGCGCCAGGGCCUCGCCGGGCGGCGACGAGACCUCCCCGUCCGUGCCCGCGCCGGGCGAGACGAUGCGCACCCCAGGGGACACCCUCCCUGCGAGUAGAGUCGGCGAGUGGACGAUGCCGGAGGACGAGUUCCACAAAUCCACGGCGGCCGGAGCAGGUCCAGCAUGGCGUCAUCCUCGCCAGAGGGCAUGGUCAGGGUGGUGGGGAGCCCGGCCAGAGGAGGAGCCGUGGCCGCAGCACCUCCCCUCGGUGGAUCCCGUCGCAACCGAGGUCAACAGCGACGGAUCUGAGCGGGCGGACGAGGUCAACAUCGUCAGGAGCUGAUUGCUUUUGGUUUUUAGAUCUAGGGGUGUGUGUGUUAUUUUUUUCUAAGUGAAUUUCUUAGAAUCUGGCUCCACUUGUAAGAAAGUGAUUAAAC
rnacentral:rRNA from 1 species